rnacentral:lncRNA from 1 species
GGCCAUCUUGUGAUACAUGCACUGUCACAGGAAAAGUUUCCAGGAAAAGUCAAGCCAGGGCUUCACAGAAGAUCAAAAGAAAGAGACAAGGAGAAGCUAAGUGGAGCCUGCAUUCCCUGCCUCCUAGUGGCUUCCUCCCAUCACUCGAACCUCUGUUUCCAGCCUCAGGAUUCCUAAUGUGACUCUGACGUUUCAUCUCCUGUUUAUGAGGACGCUUCUGAUUGCUAAGAUACAUACGGUGACACUAUGGAAGUUAACUUGAAGAUUAAAACCCUGAAAAAUAGAAAGAAUCUUCUAUGGUAUAUCACAGAGAUUACAAGGGCCUGAAUUAGAGUGGUGACAUUUUCAUCCCUUGAUAAUGGAUUAAAAACAAUUGAAUGAAGCUUUGGGGUGAACUUACAGGACUUUAUGGCAAACUUCAUAUGGGAGACUUACAUGAAGGGAGGAAGAAAUGCGUAUGUGUACAAAAUCAUGUGGAUAGAUGUGCAUUUGUGGGUAUCUGUGAAUACAAAUACACAAUUUUCAGACAGAAGUAGUAUAAGAAAAGGAAAUCAAACAAAGUCAAACAUUUUAAGUGUAGCUCUUGGUGCACUUUAAAAAAUUAUUAAAUUGAAGCUGUAGUUUAUUCUCAUCAUUGUCAUCCUAUAUUAGUGAUUUUCUUUAGCUUUUGAAAUUAAAUUCAUAAUAUUACAAUUCUGAAUUCCUAUGUAUGUAUAUGUUAAGAAUCCUUUAAUGGGACUGACUUUCAUAUGUGUGUGGCUGCAUUCUGAAAUAGUUGUCUAGUUGAUACAUAAAGCAGUGAGUGCUAUUUGUAAGAUAUAUUUAUAUUUAAAGUCUUCAUACAGUUAUUAACUAGCUCCAAUAUUACUGAAAUGAUUUCUCCAAAUAUCCUAUAUUUAAUUAUCAUGCUGGCAAAUUUAUUAUAACUUUGGUUUGAAAAAAUAUAUUAUGAUACAUAUCCACUGACUAAUGCCACCUAUCUGCUUUCCUGAAUUCAAAGUUUAUGAUUAUUUCCAUAAAUGUAUUUAUCAGUAUAAUCAAAAAUAAAAAUAACAUAAAUAAAAUUUCUGUGAGCUUUACACAUCUAAUGUGCAAUGAUUAUAAAUCUGGUCUUAUACACAUGGUAAAAAACAUUUAAGUCACAAAAGUAUACUUCAGGUUUAAGUAUAAAUCUGAAAUUAAAUUCUCAGAUUUAAGUAUAAUUUUUAAAAGCUUUGGUAAUUGUGUCCCUACUGUUAAAUUUAUUGUAUAGUUUUCACUAUAUCAUCUGACCUUUUAAUGUUUCUAGAAACUUGUGUGAGGUCUCAUACUUCAUGGCUAAUAAAGUAUUUAUUUUUCUAUUCUUGAUCAGUUUUGUUGGAUUUUAUCAAUUUUGUGAAAUCUAACACAUGACUUUCCUAAUUUUUUGUAUUGUUUUUGUGUUUUCUAUUUAAUUUCUUUUUCUCUUAUCCUUACGAUUCUCUUCCUGCUAUGUUUUCCUAGUUUAAUUUGGUGGGUUUUCUUGUUGUUGUUGUUGCUUCUUGGAAUACAAAUAAUAACAGUGCUGUAUGCCUGUAAUCCCAGACAGGAGAGGAUGAAGUGGGAAAAUUGCUUCAGCCUAGGAGUUUGAGAACCACCUAGGUGGCAGAGACAGACCCUGUCCUGAAAAAAAAAAAAAAAAAGGAAAUAGAUAAAAAUAAUAAAAUAAUAAAAAGGACAUUAUUCUUGAGCUUUUUCUCUAAUUAUUUUCCCUGAGAUAACUUGAAAGCUUUAAAAAUACAUCUGAGCAAUGCUUAGUCAAGUUUUACAAGUUUUUAUAUGCUAGACCAUCAUUUUCAUUUAGUUGAAAAUACGUGCUGUAUUUUAAAAUAUUUUGUUUGGAUCCAUUGCUUAUUUAAAAGUCUAGUGCUUAAUUUUUACACAAGUUUGCCUCUUCUAGUUAUUUUUAUUUUUUGUGUGUUCUACUCACUGGUAUUUACAUUAAAUAUUUAAGUUUAGAAUAUGUGUAUGUGUUCUGGAAAAGGUGGUACAUAGUUCCUGUUUUUCCUGUUAUUAAUAUCUUACAUUAGUAUGAUACAUUUGUCAUAAUAUUGAACUAAUGUUGAUGCAUUAUUAAUUUUAUCAUUGAUGGGUUUUUACUAUUACCAUUCUUAAUUGGGGACAGCAGUGUCAGAGGAGUUUGUUUAAGAUUUCAAACAGAGGCAAGAAUUGCUGUGUCUACUGAUCCAAAUGUUAUUACUGGGGUGGGAAACCCUCUCUUGUUAAGCAUGAAUUUUCAAGAUACAACAUUAACAAAAGUCCCUGUUAGAUUCAAAUUUUCUUAUUUUUAAAUUAUCAUCUCUUCUUGUGUCCACAAUCCUCUCCAUGGUGCCAUGUUAUAUUUAAUAGUCAUAUAUCCUUAACUUCCUCUUGGCUAUGACAGUUUCUCAGAUUCCUGUUGUCUCUGAUGACCUUGACGCUUAGUAUUGAUGAGGAAUUUUGUAUAAAGUACCUGAAAUGGAACUGGUCUAAUGUUUAUUUCGUGACUAGACUGAUAAUGUUUUUAGGAAGAAGACCAUAGAAAUAAAGUGCCAUUUUCAUUUCAUCAGGUCAAGAGUACAUCUAUGCUCUUAUCCUGACUUGUCACUGUUGAUGCUAAACUUAAUCACCUGGUUGAGUUAAUAUCUGUCAGGUUUCUCCAGUAUAAAGUUAUUCUAUGUUUUUUCCCUUUUCAUACUUUACUCUUUGGAAGCAAUCAAAUUUUGUAUGUUAAUCAUGUAUCUUACGACCUUGUUACGCACGCUCAUUAAAUCCAAGAGUUUUUGAGAUCUUUUGUUUGUUAAUUAUGUUUUUUGCAUUUGCUGAGAUUUUCUGCCUAGGCAAUCAUGUCACCUGUGAGUAAAGACAAUUUCAUGAUAUCUUUGCCAGUCUUUACAUAUUUAUUUCUUUUCCUCAUCUUACUGCACUAGGUUGGAGUCUUCUCGGUGUAAUAUUGAAUAGGAAUAGCAGGAGAGGCCAUUCUUGCCUUGCUCUAGUUAUAAGGGGAAAAUAUGCAGUUUCCUUCCAUUAACUAUAAUGUCAGCUAUACGUUUUCGGUAUAUGUUCUUUAUAAUAUUGAGGAAUUCCCUUCUAUGUCAUUUGUUGAGAGGUUUUAUCAUGAAUGGCUAUUGAAUACAAAUAAAUCUUUUUCUGUACCAAUUAACACACUCACAUGACUGUUUUUUAGUUUGUUAAUGUGGUCGAUUACAUUAGUUGACUUUUGAAUACCUAAAUGUUUAGCCUUGAAUAUCUGGAGUAAAUCCUAGUAAAUUGUGGUGUGCAAUUAUUUUUAUGCAUUUUAAGAUUUGAUUGCUAAUACAUUUGCUAUGUUUUUUAGAGAUAUUGGUCUGUAAUUUUUAUUUUCUGUAAUGUCUUUAUGUGAUUCUGGAAUUAGGGUGAUUUUGGC